rnacentral:rRNA from 1 species
GAUGAACGCUAGCGGCAGGCUUAAUACAUGCAAGUCGAGGGGCAGCAAGGGUAGCAAUACCUGUUGGCGACCGGCAAACGGGUGCGGAACACGUACAGAACCUUCCUUUAAGUGGGGGAUAGCCCAUAGAAAUGUGGAUUAAUACCCCUUAAUAUUAUGUGAUGGCAUCAUUAUAUAAUUAAAGAUUUAUUGCUUAGAGAUGGCUGUGCGGCUGAUUAGGUAG